rnacentral:rRNA from 1 species
AGCGAACGCUGGCGGCAGGCUUAACACAUGCAAGUCGAACGCAUCCUUCGGGGUGAGUGGCAGACGGGUGAGUAACGCGCGGGAACAUGCCCUUUGGUUCGGAAUAACUCAGGGAAACUUGAGCUAAUACCGGAUAAGCCCUUUUGGGGAAAGAUUUAUCGCCGAAGGAUUGGCUCGCGUCCGAUUAGCUAGUUAGUGUGGUAAUGGCUCACCAAGGCGACGAUCGGUAGCUGGUCUGAGAGGAUGAUCAGCCAACCUGGGACUGAGACACGGCCCAGACUCCUACGGGAGGCAGUAGUGGGGAAUAUUGGACAAUGGAGGCAACCCUGAUCCAGCCAUGCCGCGUGAGUGAUGAAGGCCCUAGGGUUGUAAAGCUCUUUCGGCGGGGACGAUAAUGACGGUACCCGCAGAAGAAGCCCCGGCUAACUUCGUGCCAGCCGCCGCGGUAA